rnacentral:rRNA from 1 species
GAUGAACGCUGGCGGCGUGCCUAAUACAUGCAAGUCGAGCGAACAGACGAGGAGCUUGCUCCUCUGACGUUAGCGGCGGACGGGUGAGUAACACGUGGAUAACCUACCUAUAAGACUGGGAUAACUUCGGGAAACCGGAGCUAAUACCGGAUAAUAUAUUGAACCGCAUGGUUCAAUAGUGAAAGACGGUUUUGCUGUCACUUAUAGAUGGAUCCGCGCCGCAUUAGCUAGUUGGUAAGGUAACGGCUUACCAAGGCGACGAUGCGUAGCCGACCUGUGAGGGUGAUCGGCCACAUUGGAGCGGGGACACGGUCCAGACUCCUACGGGAGGCAGCAGUAGGGAAUCUUCCGCAAUGGGCGAAAGCCUGACGGAGCAACGCCGCGUGAGUGAUGAAGGUCUUCGGAUCGUAAAACUCUGUUAUUAGGGAAGAACAAAUGUGUAAGUAACUAUGCAGGUCUUGACGGUACCUAAUCAGAAAGCCACGGCUAACUACGUG